CAGCCGCCACGGUAAUACGAAGGGGGCUAGCGUUGUUCGGAAUUACUGGGCGUAAAGCGCACGUAGGCGGAUAUUUAAGUCAGGGGUGAAAUCCCGCAGCUCAACUGCGGAACUGCCUUUGAUACUGGGUAUCUUGAGUAUGGAAGAGGUUAGUGGAAUUGCGAGUGUAGAGGUGAAAUUCGUAGAUAUUCGCAGGAACACCAGUGGCGAAGGCGGCUAACUGGUCCAUAACUGACGCUGAGGUGCGAAAGCGUGGGGAGCGAACAGGAUUAGAUACCCGUGUAGUCCCUGUCUCUUAUAC
rnacentral:rRNA from 1 species